rnacentral:rRNA from 1 species
UACGGAGGGUGCGAGCGUUGUCCGGAAUCAUUGGGCGUAAAGGGCGCGUAGGUGGCCCGGUCAGCGUGCGGUGAAAGCUCGGGGCUCAACCCCGAGUCGGCCGUGCGAACUGCUGGGCUGGAGCACUGUAGAGGCAGGCGGAAUUCCGGGUGUAGCGGUGGAAUGCGUAGAGAUCCGGAAGAACACCGGUGGCGAAGGCGGCCUGCUGGGCAGUGGCUGACACUGAGGCACGAAAGCGUGGGGAGCGAACCGG